GGAAAGCUCACGCUGAGCACGGGAGCACAGCCCAUGUGGUCAAUACCAGCUCCCACAGAGGCUGGAACUGGAGCCAGGAUGAGGCAGAGAUAUCAUUAAAACUUCCAAUGGAAGGACACAGGCACUGGCAUCUGUCUUCUUUCACAGCAGCUGAGACAUAUGGAUACAAGCAGUGGAACUGGAGCUUCUUUUUAAAAGAUGGCCGAAGCACGGCUCCCUUUCAGUUGUGACCAAAUUCCUCAUCGAAAUAAAACGCGUUAAGAAAC